CAGUGUUACAGCUCUUUUAGAAUUUGUCUAGCAGGCUUUCCGGUUUGCACCGGAAAGCCCCU
rnacentral:snRNA from 8 species